rnacentral:rRNA from 1 species
UAUGGAGAGUUUGAUCCUGGCUCAGAGUGAACGCUGGCGGCGUGCCUAAUACAUGCAAGUCGAACGAUGAAGCUUCUAGCUUGCUAGAGUGCUGAUUAGUGGCGCACGGGUGAGUAACGCAUAGGUUAUGUGCCUCUUAGUUUGGGAUAGCCAUUGGAAACGAUGAUUAAUACCAGAUACUCCCUACGGGGGAAAGAUUUAUCGCUAAGAGAUCAGCCUAUGUCCUAUCAGCUUGUUGGUAAGGUAAUGGCUUACCAAGGCUAUGACGGGUAUCCGGCCUGAGAGGGUGAACGGACACACUGGAACUGAGACACGGUCCAGACUCCUACGGGAGGUAGCAGUAGGGAAUAUUGCUCAAUGGGGGAAACCCUGAAGCAGCAACGCCGCGUGGAGGAUGAAGGUUUUAGGAUUGUAAACUCCUUUUGUUAGAGAAGAUAAUGACGGUAUCUAACGAAUAAGCACCGGCUAACUCCGUGCCAGCAGCCGCGGUAAUACGGAGGGUGCAAGCGUUACUCGGAAUCACUGGGCGUAAAGAGCGCGUAGGCGGGAUAGUCAGUCAGGUGUGAAAUCCUAUGGCUUAACCAUAGAACUGCAUUUGAAACUACUAUUCUAGAGUGUGGGAGAGGUAGGUGGAAUUCUUGGUGUAGGGGUAAAAUCCGUAGAGAUCAAGAGGAAUACUCAUUGCGAAGGCGACCUGCUGGAACAUUACUGACGCUGAUUGCGCGAAAGCGUGGGGAGCAAACAGGAUUAGAUACCCUGGUAGUCCACGCCCUAAACGAUGGAUGCUAGUUGUUGGAGGGCUUAGUCUCUCCAGUAAUGCAGCUAACGCAUUAAGCAUCCCGCCUGGGGAGUACGGUCGCAAGAUUAAAACUCAAAGGAAUAGACGGGGACCCGCACAAGCGGUGGAGCAUGUGGUUUAAUUCGAAGAUACACGAAGAACCUUACCUAGGCUUGACAUUGAGAGAAUCCGCUAGAAAUAGUGGAGUGUCUGGCUUGCUAGACCUUGAAAACAGGUGCUGCACGGCUGUCGUCAGCUCGUGUCGUGAGAUGUUGGGUUAAGUCCCGCAACGAGCGCAACCCCCUUUCUUAGUUGCUAACAGGUCAUGCUGAGAACUCUAAGGAUACUGCCUCCGUAAGGAGGAGGAAGGUGGGGACGACGUCAAGUCAUCAUGGCCCUUACGCCUAGGGCUACACACGUGCUACAAUGGGGUGCACAAAGAGAAGCAAUACUGCGAAGUGGAGCCAAUCUUCAAAACACCUCUCAGUUCGGAUUGUAGGCUGCAACUCGCCUGCAUGAAGCUGGAAUCGCUAGUAAUCGCAAAUCAGCCAUGUUGCGGUGAAUACGUUCCCGGGUCUUGUACUCACCGCCCGUCACACCAUGGGAGUUGUGUUUGCCUUAAGUCAGGAUGCUAAAUUAGCUACUGCCCACGGCACACACAGCGACUGGGGUGAAGUCGUAACAAGGUAACCGUAGGUGAACCUGCGGUUGGAUCACCUCCUUU